UACGUAGGCAGCAAGCGUUGUUCGGAGUUACUGGGCGUAAAGGGUGUGUAGGCGGUUCUUUAAGUUUGGUGUGAAAUCUCCCGGCUCAACCGGGAGGGUGCGCCGAAAACUGAAGGGCUAGAGUGCGGGAGAGGAGAGUGGAAUUCCUGGGUGUAGCGGUGAAAUGCGUAGAUAUCAGGAGGAACACCGGUGGUGUAAACGGCUCUCUGGACCGUAACUGACGCUGAGACACGAAAGCGUGGGUAGCAAACAGG
rnacentral:rRNA from 1 species